UUUUAAAGGAAAAACAAGAGGGUUCUAGGC
rnacentral:piRNA from 1 species